rnacentral:lncRNA from 1 species
CUCUUGCCUGUUUAGGUUCUGUCUACGACCCCUAGCAUUUGGAGAGGAGGCUCUUUAGUGGCAGCCCACACUGAAUGUCAGAGAAGUCAUCAUCAGAAAGCACGAUGAAGAAGACGAGACAUUCCCCAGACAACCCUGAAGCCAGAGUCUGAGUCUCAGACCCAACAGCCCACCGUCCUAGGAUGUGGACUUGGAGCUUUUACUUUGAGACAUCAUGGAAAACUUAAGAGGUACAACAUGGAGAAGACAUGAUCACAGAAUGGAAACAGCACAGAAGCAUCAGUGCCUGCAACUAAUACUGGAGCAGUUUGACGACACAGGGGCUCAAGGAAUGGACUUAGUAUUCCUCUCCUUCUUCCUCCCCCUCGCCUUCCACAGAAUCCACACCAACCUCCUCAUAAUCCUUCUCUAGGGCAGCCAUGUCCUCACGGGCCUCAGAGAACUCACCCUCCUCCAUGCCCUCACCCACAUACCAGUGCACAAAGGCACGCUUGGCAUACAUCAGAUCAAACUUGUGAUCUAGGCGAGCCCAGGCCUCAGCAAUGGCUGUGGUGUUGCUCAGCAUGCACACAGCUCUCUGCACCUUGGCCAGGUCACCACCGGGUACCACAGUGGGAGGCUGGUAGUUAAUGCCAACCUUGAAGCCAGUGGGACACCAGUCUACAAACUGGAUGCUGCGCUUGGUCUUGAUGGUGGCAAUGGCAGCAUUGACAUCUUUGGGAACCACAUCAUAACGGUACAGCAGGCAGCAAGCCAUGUAUUUACCAUGGCGAGGGUCACAUUUCACCAUCUGGUUGGCUGGCUCAAAGCAGGCAUUGGUGAUCUCUGCUACAGAAAGCUGCUCGUGGUAGGCUUUCUCAGCAGAGAUGACAGGGGCAUAAGUGACCAGAGGGAAGUGGAUGCGAGGGUAGGGUACCAGGUUGGUCUGGAAUUCUGUCAGAUCAACAUUCAGGGCCCCAUCAAAUCUGAGGGAAGCAGUGAUGGAAGACACAAUCUGGCUAAUAAGGCGGUUAAGGUUGGUUAGGUUGGGCACUCAAUGUCGAGGUUUCUACGACAGAUGUCAUAGAUGGCCUCAUUGUCUACCAUGAAGGCACAAUCAGAGUGCUCCAGGGUGGUGUGGGUGGUGAGGAUGGAAUUGUAGGGCUCAACCACAGCAGUGGAAACCUGGGGGGCUGGGUAAAUGGAGAACUCCAGCUUGGACUUCUUUCCGUAAUCCACAGAGAGCCGCUCCAUCAGCAGGGAGGUGAAGCCAGAGCCAGUUCCCCCGCCAAAGCUGUGGAAAACCAAGAAGCCCUGGAGACCUGUGCACUGGUCAGCCAGCUUGCGAAUCCUGUCCAGGACAAGGUCAAUGAUCUCCUUGCCAAUGGUGUAGUGGCCACGGGCAUAGUUAUUGGCAGCAUCCUCCUUGCCUGUGAUGAGCUGCUCAGGGUGGAAGAGCUGGCGGUAGGUGCCAGUGCGAACUUCAUCGAUGACUGUAGGUUCCAGUUCUACAAACACUGCCCGGGGCACAUGCUUGCCAGCUCCUGUCUCACUGAAGAAGGUGUUGAAGGAGUCAUCUCCUCCCCCAAUGGUCUUGUCACUUGGCAUCUGGCCAUCAGGCUGGAUGCCAUGUUCCAGGCAGUAGAGCUCCCAGCAGGCAUUGCCGAUCUAGACACCAGCCUGGCCAACGUGGAUGGAGAUGCACUCACGCAUGAUAGCAACGGGUUAGAAGGCGAGGGUGAGAGAUAGAAGCAGACACCGGGUCUCGGUUACCGUUCCCGACAACUAAGAGUCGAGUAACUUCCGUGGCUUGGAAGAGAUAACAAACAGAAUGACCCAAGAUGGAUGUCCUGAAGUUUAAAGGGGAAUGACCCCAGAGUGGACAGUCAGCUUUGAGACUCUACCAGCUUCUCAGUGGUCAUCUCACUUCACUUGCUAUGCUCCUGUGAUUUCCUGACUCUACAAGACAUACAUAUAGCAUCAUCAUGGCCCCAGGGACCUCUCACAGUGUCCUCUGUGCACCGAGGCUGAAGCUUUGGCACCAGAGCUUCACUGACUUACUCAGGAGCACAGUGAAGCAGAAACAGCCAAACGGACAAAUAGAGUCACCCCUAGGAAAGCAGGGGUGUCCACUAUGGCCCUUCAUGCCUGUGUGUUGAUAGAAGUGGCUGCCUACAGACCAUGUCUAACUGGUAGUGAUCAUGUUCUAAGGGUGGGAUUUGUAUGUUCCUUUGUUAUCUUCAGAUGUGCAUACCACAUGUGCCUGCUUUUUUUUUUUUUUAAGAAAUCUUGUUUUGAAAAACAUAUUUUUUGUUAAAUUCUGCAUUUGUACAUUUUUAAACAAUCUCAUUUUCUGGGAAUUUGCACAUGGAAUUUUCCAAAGUCCAGCACUGGGUUAAUUCUGUCUUUAUUAUUAUUAUUAUUAUUAUUAAAUGAAGCCAACACUGAGAAAGAUUUCUUCCAGGCUUGUAUUCAGAAAGGUGGGAUGAGGGGCAUCUGAUGAGGAAUUUGUUUGAUAGCCGGUGGCUAUGGUCAGGAAGGGAAAAGCAUGGCUUACUCAGCAAUGAUCAAUCUUCUCGCCAUGGGGGCUGAGUCUUCCUUGCCACUGCCUAGAAGUGCCUGCACUGUGGUCUACAUUUCAGUUAGCUUUUCUGUCACUUAAUUGUCCAAAUGAGGGUAAGAAAGAUGAUAGCUGUCCAGGAAGUCAGCUUCUGCAGUGAGGUGAUUUUUGAGGUUCAACUCCAUUAAGUCUCUGGCGCCAUCACCUGAGAGUACAUUACGGCCUCUUGUAUGAACUAUCCUUUAAAGACAGUAAUUUAUUCCUACGUGGUUAAGAAGAGGUGCCAGUGAGAUGAUUUUUUUUUGUUGUUCCCUCUUUACGGUUUUCUCAUCUUAAGAGUGGUAAUUUUGAAUAUAAACAGUAACAUUUUUAGGCAUGCUCCAUUUACGAAGCAAUUUAAAUUUUAUAUUGCUCAAAGUAAGCAUGAUUGUCCUCGUUUAGGAACAAGAAGCCAAGGCUUUGGGAGGUAGCAGGCCUGUAACACGGCUUUCCAUAGCAGUGCAGUGUGCUGAGCCUGUGUCAGGCAGUGACACUUAAUGUACAGCUUAGGUAUUUCUAUUUUGUGAACUUGGUGACGGUGUGGAGCUAACACUACUAGAGUAUGAGGAACUAUUAUUAAAUGAUCGGCCACUUUAAGGAAUGCUGUGCAAUUAUUUUGUGAAAAGUUCGGCUAGAUAAGCUGAAACAGUAGGCCAGAUAAGUCUGUAAAGGCCCCAGACCUUAGCACAACUGACUCCAUGAUGGAAGUACUGUUCAGGUCAUACAACUCAACAGGUAGACAGCACUGCCAGCCAAAAUGGAAACAAAGUCCUAAUCCAUCAAUGUCCAUAGUUCUCAAAAGCCUCUAAAUGUAAGUAAUGAUGUUGCUUUCUGGCUUCUGUAGUUCUAUUUCUGGGUAACUGUUCUUGUUAACUGAAGUGGGCCAACCCUGGAUAUGAUUUUCAUGCUUAAAAGCUCAUGCUUAGAAAGGCUCAGGGCUACACUUGAUUCCGAACGCUCAGUGUAAUCACCAAAUGUCUAAUAAAAAACUUUCUAUUGGC